rnacentral:rRNA from 1 species
UGAUAAGGUCCGUGUUCGAAAGGGAAACAGCCCAGACCACCAGCUAAGGUCCCAAAAUAUAUGUUAAGUGGAAAAGGAUGUGGCGUUGCCCAGACAACUAGGAUGUUGGCUUAGAAGCAGCCAUCAUUUAAAGAGUGCGUAAUAGCUCACUAGUCGAGUGACACUGCGCCGAAAAUGUACCGGGGCUAAACAUAUUACCGAAGCUGUGGAUUGUCCUUUGGACAAUGGUAGGAGAGCGUUCUAAGGGCGUUGAAGCAUGAUCGUAAGGACAUGUGGAGCGCUUAGAAGUGAGAAUGCCGGUGUGAGUAGCGAAAGACGGGUGAGAAUCCCGUCCACCGAUUGACUAAGGUUUCCAGAGGAAGGCUCGUCCGCUCUGGGUUAGUCGGGUCCUAAGCUGAGGCCGACAGGCGUAGGCGAUGGAUAACAGGUUGAUAUUCCUGUACCACCUAUAAUCGUUUUAAUCGAUGGGGGGACGCAGUAGGAUAGGCGAAGCGUGCGAUUGGAUUGCACGUCUAAGCAGUAAGGCUGAGUAUUAGGCAAAUCCGGUACUCGUUAAGGCUGAG